rnacentral:rRNA from 1 species
GACGAACGCUGGCGGCGUGCUUAACACAUGCAAGUCGAGCGGUAAGGCCCUUUCGGGGGUACACGAGCGGCGAACGGGUGAGUAACACGUGGGUGACCUGCCCUUAGCUCUGGGAUAAGCCUGGGAAACUGGGUCUAAUACCGGAUAUGACUCCAUGACGCAUGUUGUGGGGUGGAAAGCCUUGUGCGGCUAGGGAUGGGCCCGCGGCCUAUCAGCUUGUUGGUGGGGUGAUGGCCUACCAAGGCGACGACGGGUAGCCGGCCUGAGAGGGCGACCGGCCACACUGGGACUGAGACACGGCCCACGACUCCUACGGGAGGGCAGCAGUGGGGAAUCUUGCGCAAUGGGCGAAAGCCUGACGCAGCGACGCCGCGUGAGGGAUGACGGCC